GCCGGGGCGGGUGGAGACACGACUGGUGGGAAACAGUGGUUGCCAGGAGCAACGGCAAAUGCGCCAGCCAAUGGCGAGGCCGAAUUCCCUCCGCCGGGUUCUCGCCGGAGUUGUAAUCCGGGUGCGCCCACCUGGAGGGGCCUUCUGUGUUCAACAAAGACUUAGUCAAAGCUACACUCCGGGUCGUGAUUGGAUUAUGGAAGGGGAGAGUUUGGAGUAAAAAUUAACUGAAGCAGUGCUUCUGAUAGGCUCAGAGCAAAACUGAGCAGUGUGAACAGGAGGCCUGGGAUUGAGCUGAGAAGCAAACUCAAAGUCUUUUCCUUGGAAACCUCAGAGUUAAGAUCGAUGUGAAAUGCUGGUUCUGAAAAUUGAUUAUCUAAGCUUCAUGCGUGGAUUGAAAAUCCUGCGUCUACACCGCCUGCAUGGUUUAGACCCUCCAAGCAAGAAUGGGAUGUUCCACUGACACUGACAAUCUCAAAUAGCAGAGUUUCCAACGUUCUAUUAUUUUAGAAAACAUUUGUCAGCACCAUGUCCUUGGUCUCAACGAACAGUAGUGGUCUUUACCAGAUAAAAAGGCACUAUCUACAACUGAUUGACCAUGCAACAUGUAUCAGGCAUAGCAAAUAUAUGAGGAAACUGCUGGCUGGUACACAGCAGGUGGGAAUAUAAAUUGGUACAAUCUUACAAGAUAAUUUGAUACAAAGUAAAAGCUAGUGUGUAUAUAACAGAUGCUACUUGGAGAUGGCCCCUCAGCUUCCUUCUCUACCCCGCCCUCAUUUUUUGAACCCACUACCCAUUAUACUGAAGAGACACUUGGAGAAAAUGGGGGUUAUCUAGCUGAGACUGAGGACUAAGGAAGGUUUCUCCGGUGAAUUCAUUGAGUGCAUGUGCACACACACAAAAAGACAAAAACAGUAUUCGCUCAAUGUAUAGCAGUAUUGUGCUCUCGACAGGGAGUGUUCAGGAAUUCAACCUCAGACUUUAGAAAUUAACAAAAGUUAAAUAAUGGCAAUAGCACUUAUUAGCAAUACCACUGGAAAACUUACGUAACCAUUCUGCCGUUCAGUUCCUGUAGCUAUAAAAUGGGGCAAAAGAAGGGAAUAAUGGCAUUGAACUCACAGGACUGUGGUGAGGGUUGAAAUGAGAGAAAUUGAUUCCAGCACUUGAAGUGGUAUCAAUGUUAUCGCCAUUCUCUUUUUCACUUUGUUGUCUUUUUGAGAUGUUUGCUAGUGAAAGUGUUGUCAUUUUGUAAGUUUUGAAAGGUUGAUUAGUAAGAGUACCUGUCUGUCUGCAGAUUGUCCUACCCUGAGGAUGGAGCAGUUGUUUACAAAUGAUAGUGGGGAUAAGGAUUACCAAUGAGUUCUUUCCGAUCCCUCAGAGAUGUCAAAUUUCAUAAGUCUGCGGUGGGCCUAAAACUCUGCAGUUUUCCAAAGCCCGUUCCUCCAUUCUCUCAGUGCUUCUGACGCAGGGGAUACACAGAUGGUACUUAGAAAGCCUUCAGAUCAGAUGAGCAUUCAGGGUUCUUGUUUCUCUGUAAAAUCACUCCAUCCAUGUUGUAAUAAACCACUCAAGACGUAAAACACAAAGGUGGUUUAUUCCUAGCCAUCUUCAAUAGAGGACAUCCCCAGUCUGCCCAGAUGGCUUGCUGUAGAGUUUAAUCACUUCACUUGUAAAGAAGUCCCUGUGUUUGCAUCAUCAAAAUAAGCCAUCAUUAAAAAAUAAAAACACAGCAGGUAAAUGAUCCCAGGCUGGAUUCUAGAAACAAAAUGUGGCGAUGUGGAGCAAAGGGACACUCUCAUGAGUUAUUGAUGAGACUACCCUGGCACAGCGUCUGCAUACCGCAAGCAAGUUGGUGAUGCUUAAGUGCACAUCUAGGACGUUCAGCUUGAGAUAGGAUCCAACAUCUUUUAAAUGUGCAAGGACAGUUAUUGCUGCAUUUUUUUUUUUUUUGAGAGAGAGAUCAGAAACAGCUGAAUAUCUGCUGAUAAGAAAUUAACUAGGGGCCGACGCUGUGGCACAGUGGGUUAACGCCCUGGCCUGAAGCGCCCACAUCCCGUAUGGGCGCCAGUUCUAGUCCCGGCUGCUCUUCUUCCGAUCCAGCUCUCUGCUGUGGCCUGGGAUAGCAGAAGAUGGCCCAAGUCCUUGGGCCCCUGCACCCAUGUGGGAGACCUGGAAGAAGCUCCUGGCUCCUGGCUUUGGAUCGGCGCAGUUCCAGCCAUUGCAGCCAUUUGGGGAGUGAACCAGCAGAUGGAAGACCUCUCUCUUUGUCUCUACCCUCUCUGUAACUCUGUCUUUCAAAUAAAUAAAAUCAAUCUUUUAAAAAAAAGAAAUUAACUAUGGCUCAUCUGCAUAAUCCAAUACUAUGCAACAUUUCUUAGGGAAAGAUAAGCCCAAAGUGGGAUGAUCUGUAAGACAUAGUAUUAAGGAUAAAAGAGUGACAUGCAUAGUAUGCCACUGUAUUGUACAAAAAGCACACAGAAAUAUAGGUACAGUAUUUUCUUGAGACAUUGGUUACCUUUGGGAAGAAGAACUAAGGCUGGGAUAGGGUUGGGAAGAUGUCUCAGCACCUAUCCUUUUGUACCUUUUAAAUGUCCUAUGUACAAGUAUGUGUACUAUGUAUUUAAUAAGUUAGUUUUUUUAUUUUUAAAAAGAUUUAUUUAUUUGAAAGGCAGAGUUACAGAGAGGCAGAGGCAGAAACAGAGAGGUCUUUCAUCCACUGGUUCACUCCCCAAAUGGCUGCAGCAGCUGGAGCUGGGCCAAUCAGAAGCCAGGAGCCAGGGGCUUCUGGGUCUCCCACAUGGGUGCAGGGGCCCAAGCACUUGGGCCAUCUUCUACUGCUAUCCCAGGCCAUGGCAAAGAGCUGAAUCGGAAGUGGAGCAGCCAGGACUCGAACUGGCACCCAUAUGGGAUGACAGUACUGCAAGUGGCAGCUUUACCUGCUACACCACAGAGCCAGCCCUAGAAAUUAGUUUUUAAAACAUAAGGUUUGGCCGGUGCCGCGGCUCACUAGGCUAAUCCUCCACCUUGCGGCGCGGGCACACCAGGUUCUAGUCCCGGUCAGGGCACCGGAUUCUGUCCCGGUUGCCCCUCUUCCAGGCCAGCUCUCUGCUGUGGCCCGGGAAGGCAGUGGAGGAUGGCCCAAGUGCUUGGGCCCUGUACCCCACGGGAGACCAGGAGAAGCACCUGGCUCCUGCCAUCGGAUCAGCGCAGUGCGCCUGCCGCAGCGCGCUGGCCACAGCGGCCAUUGGAGGGUGAACCAAUGGCAAAGGAAUACCUUUCUCUCUCUCUCUCUCUCUCUCUCUCACUGUCCACUCUGCCUGUCAAAAAAUUUAAAAAAAUAAAUAAAACAUAAGGUUUGUUCAGAAAGGAACAGGUUUAUCAGAAAUCAGAUGAAGAAGUGAAAAAAAUGGUUUUGAAUAUCUUUCUCGUUGUAAAACAGAACUUAGGAAAAAUUACUGGAGGGAGACCAACUGUCAAGUCAGCAUCACCUAGCGCGGCAGCGUGGUGCUGUGAAGCUGAGUGAUGCUGUCCCAGAGGGCUGAUGACCCAAAUAUGCUGUCCCAGCAGUCACAGAGGAAUGCCACCCUGUGAGAGACCUGUCGCCUUCUUCAAGAAGUUCAAACCACAUUGUAGAUAUGUAAUUAAUCCUUAUGUUAAUUAGAAGGCAUGCUUAUUAGUCCCACCUUACAAAUAAAGAUGCUAUGGUGAGAAUAAUAACUUACCCUGUCAUGCCUGGCAAAACCAGUCCUGUGUUUUUAGCCAUGAGUCUGAGAAAUUUUUCAAAUUUUGACACACUGUGCUAGGAGACACAAGAGUUACUAAACAGCACACAAAGCAUUUUUCAUCUGUUACUGUGAUACCUGGUGUGUGUGUGUGUGUGUGCAUGUGCGUGUGUCUACACACCAAAUAAAGUCAGCCUUCUACACCCUGUACAGGUAUCUUCCUGGCUUCCUUCCUGUCCUGGCUGUCCUUUGCCGAGUGUGUCACCUGAGUUAGUCACUCACCUCUUUACUGACUCACCCAAAGUCACCUACUUUAUGGUUGGUUGGUUGUUUUAAUUGAGAGCCUGUUGUUUAUCAUGCCCUAUGUUUGUACCUCACAUGUAUCGUCUCACCUCACCCUCAUACUCAUCCCCAAAGGCAAACUGAAACACAGGUUAACUAACUUAGCCAGUGUCACAUAACUGGAAAGUUAUGAUCCAAAUUCAGCUCCGCCUGACUCCGUCACUCAUCUCUAACCACUCUACCUCCAUGAUAAAUGUGAAAGUUCUUUAUAAAAUGAAGUAACACCUUGACACUAGGGACUCCAUUUUGGAGAACCUGAGACUCCAUUCUGGGAAGGUGCCCACCCACACACCGUGAGACUCUGGUCUGAAACUGUGACCUAAAACAGUUGAACAAUAGCAGUCCACUACAUCACACUUGGCAGAGCAUAGAAACCCCCUAGCAUGAUCGCUCAAGCUUGGAAGUGGAUAGGCUGCACCUGGGUUAAUGAUAAUUUUAUUUGUCUAUGUCCUACAUAUGAUUAAAACCAAUACCUGGAUUAAUGUCAAGAUUAUAAUUAAAAUUGUUAAGAUUGUGACUGUAUUGUCAAGAUUAUAAUUGAUACUAGUUUCACAUAGGUUUUAGGUCAGCUUAACCCCAGUAACAAUGUAUUCCUCCUGAUCCUAGCAACCAUGUAUUCCCCUCCUGAUUGUGUGGUUUUUGCCUUUAUAAACACUGUUGCUUUGGGCUUCAGGGUCGAGAGUUCUUUAGAGCAUGAGCCCACUCUCCACCACAGGCAAUAAAGGACCAUCAGAUUUUA